UUUAUGACUUGUUUAUAAUGUUUAUGACACGUUCAUGACAGCGUCAUGUCACUCUUGUGUAGAUACCUUCAUGUAAAGUGUUUCCAAAGCAUUUCUAUG